rnacentral:rRNA from 1 species
AGUAAAGUGGCGACCGGGUGAGUAACACGUGACUAACCUACCUUCAAGUGGGGGAUAACCUCGGGAAACCGGGGCUAAUACCGCAUAACAUCUUUGAAGUGGAAAUUUCGAAGAUCAAAGGAGCAAUUCGCUGGAAGAGGGGGUCGCGGCUGAUUAGCUAGUUGGCGGGGUAAUGGCCCACCAAGGCUUUGAUCGGUAGCCGGCCUGAGAGGGCGCACGGCCACACUGGAACUGAAACACGGUCCAG